UGAUGUCAAAAUCGAGGCAUUUGUAUGAACCCGCAACCCUGAUUCGAACUCCGUGUACUCAAGCUACCUACAUAUAUACACGGGACUGA